rnacentral:rRNA from 1 species
UACGGGGGGAGCAAGCGUUGUUCGGAUUUACUGGGCGUAAAGGGCGCGUAGGCGGCGCAACAAGUCACUUGUGAAAUCUCCGGGCUUAACCCGGAGCGGUCAAGUGAUACUGUCGUGCUAGAGUGCGGAAGGGGCUACUGGAAUUCUCGGUGUAGCGGUGAAAUGCGUAGAUAUCGAGAGGAACACCUGCGGCGAAGGCGGGUAGCUGGGCCGACACUGACGCUGAGGAGCGAAAGCGUGGGGAGCAAACAGG